UGAAUCUAAUAACCUGUCUUCAUCUGUCGGCCUUGUCACUGAUUUCAAGUCAAGUGCUCAGCCAUGUUCUGCAUUGUCUGAAUGUGCUGCUCAUUUUUGCAGGACAGUUAACUACCAGCAUGUCGAGCCCCAUUUUAUGUUCUCCUACGACAUUCUGAUGAAAUGGAACAAGGAACAAGCCGUGUGAAGAGAUUGGAAAAAUUGAGGCAAAUGCUGGAACCUUUUCUAUUUUUGUUUUGAUGUGUUGCUUUUGAUACUAGAUGACAACAUGUAACUUGCUAUUUUGACAUGCUUCUCAAUGUAAAUAUAAGAUAUAUUUGAUUUUAUGCUGUGGUAAAUGGGCUGAAUAUUUUAGUA